UUCAGUCUGAACUUGGGGAAGGAUGUGGCCUGUCUUCAGGCUGAGCUCAGCACACUGUAACCCAUCAGAUCUCCCUGCAGCCAGGCAUGUCUGCUCCCUGCCAAGCCACAGUUAGGAAGGGACCAUGGCAGCUGUGAUCCUGCUCGGCCUUUGCCUGGCAGACAGCAGUUCAACCACUGUCCUCAAGACAUGGGACAAAGCUGCAAAAGGCAGCUACUGGGAGUUGAUGUUCCUUGUCCCCUGACAACCUAUGAGCCCCCUGCCUAGGGAACUUACCCCCACCACUGCCACUUCCCAAUGACCCUGAUGCGCAGUGUAUCUCCUUGAAUCCUGCCUCUGAAGGGACCAGCUUUAUUUGCUUCUAAACCACCAUGAAGUUUUCCUUGGGACUAGCCCUGGAGCCUUCCAGGUACAACCUGUAGCAUCUACCUGAGGAUGGCUGGAGCCUGGCCAGGUUCAUGGAACCUACCGUGUGAGCGCUGGAGGACCCGCUGCACAGGACCUGCACUUCUGUGUCCAAAGACUAGAGGAAACUCCAGCUCAUAGUUUAGGUGAAUUCCAGCUGUUUCUGCCACUGGAGGGACAAUCUUCUCUAAGCCUGGGAGACCCAUCCCCGGGCCUCUCAGCAACAUGGGUGGAUCCUGUCUCUUGGGUGCUCCCUUCUCCCCUGUGCCCCAUGGCUUCCCCGCUGAGACAGAGGGGGAUGUCUGGGGAGUUGGGUAGGAACCACAGCCUGGCCAGACUGGGUGGGCAUGGCCACUGCAUGGAGGCGGAGAAUGGCUUUGGGUGCACCUGUGGGUGUUGGGUGCCUUGAAUUCACGACACCGUGCUUUUACUCAGAAGCACGGCUCCCUGGGUGAUACAGGUCCUGGGAGUCAGGAAGCCUUCAACUUCAUCCUGCGAGUCCUGGGCGGUGACUCCCCUGGCUGGCCAAGCCAACUGCAGCUUUAGCUUUGGGGGUCCAUUUACACUUUUCUCCACGUGGAAACCUGCCAGGGCACCCUGCAGCUGGGGAUGGAGGUUGCGGUGCUGGUGUGAGUAGCCAGACCCACCAAGGCCACCAGCACCUGGCAGUCACAGGACAGGCACGAACCGGAGAGUUCCAUAUGCUCAUGCACUGCCCCAGCUUGGGGGGGCUGAGAUUCGGUAUUUCCAACCAGGUCCAGAUGCCGCCUGUGUUUCCGGCUUGCCCAGGGCCUGACUUGAGGAGUGAGAUUUCCGGCUGGUCUGCUCUCUAACAUCCUGUUUCAACACCACCCCGUGGCUUCCUAGGUUCUGUCCUCGUGAGUGUAGCCCAUGGCCCCAAGAUCACACUACUGCCCCCGACAUAGACGCCAGGACACUUCCUGUGACAAAAUCACAGUGACCAGAUGCAUGUAUCCUGAAUGCAGGGUCAUGUGUGUGACUCCAAAUGCCAUCCCAGAUAGCUAAGGCCAGAAAGCCUGGAUCAUCCCAGAUAGCUAAGGCCGGGAAGCCUGGAUGAGGAUAUUGCCGGCCCUGGAGGGGGAAUGAGAACCUGGGUGUGGUGACAGACUCAAGUUUGGAGGAAGGGGAUUUCUAGAAGGCAGGUGCAGAAGAGGGCCCUUAUGUCUGCGGAGAGGUUGGCAAGGCUGGUAGGAGGGUAGGCUGCAUACGCGGCAGACGUUUGGCUGGGUCUUUCUGGUGAGCAGAAAAGACUUAAAUAAAAUACUAGUUUCCUUUCCUUCUCAGCAAUUUACAGGUGGGGAAAAAAAAUUCUAAUUCAAAAGCAGAGGAUGUGGCCCUUGAGGAAGACCGCGCGCCCCCUGCAGGCCCCAGCUGGCACCGCAGGCAGAUUGGUUGAGAGUAAAUCUUGCCUUGAUGCCCAGCCAACUGUUUGUGACCUGGGCAGGUGCCGGGGAAAACAGGCCAGGGCUGUGAUCCCCGGAAAUGAGUGCAGGAUGAACAGACCAGAGCCUGAGUGGGGUGCAGCGGGGAGCGGGCGGCUGAUGAUUGCAGAGCAAAUGAAUACAGCCAAGUGCUUGGAAGCUGGCCGAGCGGUGACCCAGACUGGCCCGAGGAAGAAAUAGUUGUAGAGGACAGAAAUCUUCAACAGCACUGUGUAAAAAGCGACUAGCAAGUGGAGGUCCUCCGUCCACCAGCCUGACUUCCUGCAGAAUUUCCCCAUUUGUCUCAGCCUUUGCAGCUCUGCACACCAUCCCAGGGACUCUCAGGCAUCACUCUCGGGGACUUCUCUCAAGCAUGCCUUGGCCUAGGCACUCCUUUUGUGGGCAAACCUUCGGUGGCUCCCUAUUUCCAAGAGAGUAAAAGUCCAAACUAUUUAUCUUAGUUUAGGAGGCUCUACAAAGCCCACUCCUGGCUCUGCCUGCCUUGUCCUCCACUAACGUUGCCCGCACUGCCCUUUCAUCUCUGCCCAGCUAACGCCGUCCAUUAUUCCUGAAUAUUCUACAUGCUUUCUGCCUCUUGCAUGGCCCUUUUGGGCCAACACAACACCAAGUUCCAAUUCCACUUUUUUUUUCUGGUACUGGGGAUCGAAUUCGGGUCCUUGCACUUUCCAGGCAGGCGGUGGAACCACUGAGCUAAAUCCCCGGUCCUCCAGUUCCACUUUUAAGUGGCAGUGCU
rnacentral:lncRNA from 1 species